rnacentral:rRNA from 1 species
GACAGCAGCAGCCGCGGGAAUACGAAGGGUGCAAGCGUUAAUCGGAAUUACUGGGCGUAAAGCGUGCGUAGGCGGCUUGUUAAGUCUGCUGUGAAAUCUCCGGGCUCAACCUGGGAAUGGCAGUGGAUACUGGCAAGCUAGAGUGUGUCAGAGGAUGGUGGAAUUCCCGGUGUAGCGGUGAAAUGCGUAGAGAUCGGGAGGAACAUCAGUGGCGAAGGCGGCCAUCUGGGACAACACUGACGCUGAGGCACGAAAGCGUGGGGAGCGAACAGGAUUAGAUACCCGCGUAGUCCCUGUCUCUUAUAC